UUUCCCCGCCUCCUCAUUGUGCAUGCUGUGUGUUUCCAUCCUUGUCCGCACAGCGCCUGCAAUGUGGAGGCCAAGGAU
rnacentral:pre_miRNA from 1 species